AUGCCACGUGCUGAUGGUCCUUUUAAGGUGUUAGAGAAAAUAAAUGAUAAUGCAUAUAAACUUGAGCUGCCUGCAGAUUUUGGGGUUAGUCCCACUUUUAAGAUUGCAGAUUUGAAGCCUUAUUUGGGUGAGGAUGAUGAAAUUUCGUCGAGGACGACUUCAUUUCAAGAAGGGGAGGAUGAUGAGGACAUCAAUACCAUUGUUACACCCACAGCCCCUGCUGCUAUACAUACUGGACCAAUUACUAGAGCUCGCGCACGCCAAUUGAAUUAUCAGGUACUUUCGUUUCUUGGUAACGAUUCUAAUGUUCAUGAGAAUAUGAUGCUGCCUAAAUUGGAUACAUUUGUUUUGCUUACAAAUGAAGGGCCUAGCUUGGACAAGAAAGAUGAACCUUGGAGCAAGUUCAAGCAUGGAGAUGAUGGCAUGCGCAAGGGGAACAAGAACGGAGUUACAAGUGAUGAUUCCAGGACUCUAAAGCCACCAUAA
rnacentral:rRNA from 1 species